rnacentral:ncRNA from 1 species
AAUAGGGAAGCUGAAAACUAUAUAGAGUAGGCA